CGAAUUUUCCGGACACGAAAAUACAAAAUAUAUCAACUAAUUCUGUUUAGAAAACAUUAAAUUAUAAAUAAAUGUUUCUAAAUAAAGAAAAUGACUGGAGUGACAGUGCUAUUUUUGACUUUUGUAACUCUAAUCAACGUUGUUCACUGUCAACUGGAACUGUCUGGUUUUCGAAACACAACAUUAUGGGCACACGAGGAAUCGCAGAACUAUGUGCAAAAUCGAACUACACUACCUCGUGCACAUAUCAAUAUGACAUCAUUGUUCAAAGACGCUAGAUCAACCAUAAAUUGGAAAUUUUAGUCGACUCGACGGGAAUCUGAUUGUUAAUUUACUUUCGAUUGAAGAGAUUGAGAGACGAUUGGAAAAGAGUUCAGUUAGUCGACUCGACGGGAAUCCGAUUGUUAAUUUACCUCCGAUUGAAGAGAUUGAGAGACGAUUGGACAAGAGUUCAGGUAGCCCCCGCGUACGAAGUAAAUUUUGUCAACGUUGUCCCUGUGCAUGCAAAACCCUACCGAAAAAGAAUGGAUCAUUUUCUCGGCCUGUACUUCGGAGAUAUGUGGCUGGAAGCGCUAGCGAAAACUCACCAAAAAGAACAAGAUUUAAUCGUAGCCGUUAUCAGACUCCACCUGCCAUAUGACAAAAUAUCUCAGAAUAAUAUAAGCUUGCAGUUCAACUAAUAUUACCACGAACACCACAGAGAAACAUACAAAAGCCAGCGACGUCUCCAGAUAAUUUUAUAAAUAUUAUUGUUACAACUCACAGAUUUAUAUAGCAUAAAUAAAAUUAUUCAUUUGUGAGUGACGGGACAAUAAAAUUUAUUGUUGAAAA